rnacentral:rRNA from 1 species
UUUAGCCUACGGGACGCAGCAGUGGGGAAUAUUGGGCAAUGGGCGCAAGCCUGACCCAGCAACGCCGCGUGAAGGAAGAAGGCUUUCGGGUUGUAAACUUCUUUUGACAGGGAAGAGUAGAAGACGGUACCUGUCGAAUAAGCCACGGCUAACUACGUGCCAGCAGCCGCGGUAAUACGUAGGUGGCAAGCGUUGUCCGGAUUUACUGGGUGUAAAGGGCUGGUAGCCGGGUUGACAAGU